AACGAACGCUGGCGGCGCGUUUUAAGCAUGCAAGUCGAACGGCAAGCACUGUAGCAAUAUGGUGCUGAGAGUGGCGAACGGGUGAGUAACACGUAGGUGAUCUACCCUUGGAUGGGGGAUAGUCCGUGGAAACACGGGGUAAUACCGCAUGAGGCCUUGUGGAUAGAGCCAUGAGGUGAAAGGUGCAAUUGCACCGUCUGGGGAUGAGCCUGCGCUCCAUUAGGUAGUUGGCGGGGUAAGAGCCCACCAAGCCUACGAUGGAUAGCCGGCCUGAGAGGGUGUACGGCCACACUGGAACUGAGACACGGUCCAGACUCCUACGGGUGGCAG
rnacentral:rRNA from 1 species